rnacentral:rRNA from 1 species
GACGAACGCUGGCGGCGUGCUUAACACAUGCAAGUCGAGCGGAGCGGCGAACGGGCGAGUAACGCGUGAGUAACUGCCCCCCUCUCUGGGAUAACAGUUGGAAACGGCUGCUAAUACCGGAUAGUGUGGGAUGACUCGCGGCCUAUCGGCUUGUUGGUGGGGUAGUGGCCUACCAAGGCGACGCCGGGUAGCCGGCCUGAGAGGGCGACCGGCCACAGUGGUCUGAGAUACGGCCCAAACUCCUACGGGAGGCAGCAGGGGGGAAUAUUGCACAAUGGGGGAAACGCUGAUGCAGAAACGCCGGGUGCGGGAUGUCGGCCUUCGGGUGGGAAACCGCUUUCAGCCAUGACGCGUUAGUGGCAGAAGAAGCACCGGCUAACUACGUGCCAGCAGCCGCGGUAAUUC